GGCGGCUGAGAUCCUCGGAGGUGAUAGGGGAUUUCCCAUUUGGUUUCAUCGCCAUAGAUUGAGGUUAGAGAAGUUCUAGGGUUUGAUUUGUACACAGGAAGAAAAUGAGUAUAUAAAGAAGGAGGAAAAGAGAAAACCGAAACGAAAUCAUAAAGAAGAAAUUGAUUGAUCGAGAUGUAGUGGAGUAUUGAUUAUGCAGAAGUGGAUCAAUCGAACUGAAUCGCUGUGGUAUCAAGCGAAGAAGACGAAGAGGUAGAGCCG
rnacentral:lncRNA from 1 species